rnacentral:rRNA from 1 species
AUACCACCCUUUAAUGUUUGAUGUUCUAACGUGGACCCGUAAUCCGGGUUGCGGACAGUGUCUGGUGGGUAGUUUGACUGGGGCGGUCUCCUCCUAAAGAGUAACGGAGGAGCACGAAGGUUGGCUAAUCCUGGUCGGACAUCAGGAGGUUAGUGCAAUGGCAUAAGCCAGCUUGACUGCGAGCGUGACGGCGCGAGCAGGUGCGAAAGCAGGUCAUAGUGAUCCGGUGGUUCUGAAUGGAAGGGCCAUCGCUCAACGGAUAAAAGGUACUCCGGGGAUAACAGGCUGAUACCGCCCAAGAGUUCAUAUCGACGGCGGUGUUUGGCACCUCGAUGUCGGCUCAUCACAUCCUGGGGCUGAAGUAGGUCCCAAGGGUAUGGCUGUUCGCCAUUUAAAGUGGUACGCGAGCUGGGUUUAGAACGUCGUGAGACAGUUCGGUCCCUAUCUGCCGUGGGCGCUGGAGAACUGAGGGGGGCUGCUCCUAGUACGAGAGGACCGGAGUGGACGCAUCACUGGUGUUCGGGUUGUCAUGCCAAUGGCACUGCCCGGUAGCUAAAUGCGGAAGAGAUAAGUGCUGAAAGCAUCUAAGCACGAAACUUGCCCCGAGAUGAGUUCUCCCUGACCCUUUAA